rnacentral:misc_RNA from 1 species
CGCCAUUGCUUUUCAGGAGAGAAUCAGAAUCCCUGAUGAUAAAAUGGUGUACUAUGAGAACCUAGCUGAAAUGUAUGUCGGUGAUGAUGUAUCUCCAGACUUUUAUGGAUGGGUGUUCCCCAAAUGUGACCAUGUUGCUGUUGGAACUGGCACAGUCACUCACAAAGGAGACAUCAAGAAGUUCCAAUUAGCUACAAGAAAUAGAGCCAAAGACAAGAUCCUUGGGGGCAAGAUUAUUCGAGUAGAGGCACACCCAAUACCAGAACACCCGAGGCCACGCAGGUUAUCAGACAGAGUAGCACUAGUAGGGGAUGCGGCAGGGUAUGUGACGAAAUGUUCAGGCGAGGGCAUCUACUUUGCGGCGAAGAGUGGGAGAAUGUGCGCGGAGGCAAUCGUUGAGGGGUCAGGGAAUGGGAAGAGGAUGGUGGAUGAGAGUGACCUGAGGAAGUACUUGGAGAAAUGGGACAAAACGUAUUGGCCAACAUACAAGGUGCUGGAUGUGUUGCAGAAAGUAUUCUACAGAUCGAACCCAGCAAGAGAGGCAUUCGUGGAGAUGUGUGCAGAUGAGUAUGUGCAGAAAAUGACUUUCGAUAGCUAUUUGUACAAGAAGGUGGUACCCGGGAAUCCUUUGGACGAUUUGAAGUUGGCUUUCAAUACCAUUGGGAGCUUGGUGAGGGCUAAUGCUCUUAGAAAGGAGAUGAACAAGCUUAGCGUAUGAGCUACCUAUGCUAAGAUUUAUGUGUCUUUGUUCAUUUAUGUAUUAAUUAAAUCUUAGCUAGCAUAUAUGCUAAGAUUUAAAAAUUUAGCUACGAUAUUUAUGUGUCUUUUGUUCUUGCUGUUAAAAAUAUGAUAGCUAAAGAGGAAAUGGGAUGUUCAGAUUGUUCAUGUCUACAGAGAAGCAAGUGUUGUUGCAGACUGGCUUGCCAACAGUGCUUUUUCUUUUGAUCUUGGCCCUCACAUACUGGUUUCUCCAGCUGGGUCGACUGCUUUUUCAAGAUGCCUCUGGUUUUGCUCAGUGCAGAGACGUGCUGAUGCUUCCUUGGUUUGAGUU